AUUGAACGCUGGCGGCAGGCCUAACACAUGCAAGUCGAGCGGAUGAAGGGAGCUUGCUCCUGGAUUCAGCGGCGGACGGGGGAGUAAUACCUAGGAAUCUGCCUGGUAGUGGGGGAUAACGUCCGGAAACGGGCGCUAAUACCGCAUACGUCCUGAGGGAGAAAGUGGGGGAUGUUCGGACCUCACGCUAUCAGAUGAACCUAGGUCGGAUUAGCUAGUUGGUGGGGUAAAGGCCUACCAAGGCGACGAUCCGUAACUGGUCUGAGAGGAUGAUCAGUCACAUGGGAACUGAGACAGGGUCCAGAGUACUACGGGAGGCAGCAGUGUGGAAUAUUGGACAGUGGGCGAAAGCCUGAUCCAGCCAUGGCGCGUGUGUGAAGAAGGUCUUCGGAUUGUAAAGAACUUUAAGGUGGGAGGAAGGGCAGUAAGUUAAUACCUUGCUUGUGUGACGUUACCAACAGAAGAAGCACCGGCUAACUUCGUG
rnacentral:rRNA from 1 species